GCACUCGAUUCGGCCGCACAUAUACUAAAAUUGGAAUGACACAGAGAAGAUUAGCAUGGCCCCUGCGCAAGGAUGACACACAAAUUUGUGAAGUGUUCCAUAUUAAA
ensembl:snRNA U6 U6 spliceosomal RNA